UACGUAGGGGGCAAGCGUUAUCCGGAUUUACUGGGUGUAAAGGGAGCGUAGACGGAAAAGCAAGUCUGAAGUGAAAUCCCCGGGCUCAACCCGGGAACUGCUUUGGAAACUGUUUUUCUUGAGUGUCGGGGAGGUAAGCGGAAUUCCUGGUGUAGUAGUGAAAUGCGUAGAUAUCAGGAAGAACACCGGAGGCGAAGGCGGCUUACUGGACGAUAACUGACGUUGAGGCGCGAAAGUCGGGGGAGCAAAC
rnacentral:rRNA from 1 species